ensembl:lncRNA
CCCCUUCCCAGCCCUCAUUUAAGGGUUGGCAGUGGAGGUGAGGACAUCUUUUGCUGGAGAUCUCUGCCUACCUGAGGCCUUCCAAAGGUAAGCAGUGACUUCAGCAGUACAAGCAUGAACAGGCAGAGCACGCUGGCUAUGAUUACAUCAGAAGACUGAGGGAUGCACACAAUCUCCCUGCUGUCAAGCCACAAAGCAGGAAUUCCCAAGUGAUGUCAGAGUAAGGUCUGCUCAAUACGAGGAGCCUUUGACACGGAAGCAGAAGUUUUCCAAGCUGUACUUUGAAGUGUGGAACCACUACUGGGAGAAUUUUGUUCUGGCCUCGCUAACGCCUCUGAGAGCUUCAACCUGACUGGGCCCACUGCUGGAUAAUGCCAUAUUACACAUGUAUUUCAAGUGUUUGGCAAAGAUUUGAGUGCAUGAGCAGGUGGAGAGUAGAAGCAAGGACAGAAAAAUCAAGAAGGAUUUACCAGAGCACAGGAGUGGGACGUGCACAGAGAUAUCCUUUAAAUGGAAUAAGCAGCCUCCUCCAGACAUAUCUGAUGACAAGAAAGUGUACCAAGCUUUCCAAACCACGGUCCAAAUUCACAGCUACGUGUGGCAGGCUUUCAAUCACAUCUACAUAAAACCAUAGAAUCAAUAAGGUUGGAAAAGACCUCCAAGAUCAUCCAGUCCAACCAUCCACCUCUCACCAAUUCCACACUAAACCAUGUCCCUCGGUACAACAUCUAAA